rnacentral:tRNA from 1 species
GUCGUCGUGGCCGAGUGGUUAAGGCGACAGACUUGAAAUCUGUUGGGCUCUGCCCGCACAGAUUGGAAUCCUGUCGGCGACG